UUGACGGGGACCCGCACAAGCGGUGGAUGAUGUGGAUUAAUUCGAUGCAACGCGAAAACCUUACCUACCCUUGACAUGUCCGGAAUCCCGAAGAGAUUUGGGAGUGCUCGCAAGAGAACCGGAACACAGGUGCUGCAUGGCUGUCGUCAGCUCGUGUCGUGAGAUGUUGGGUUAAGUCCCGCAACGAGCGCAACCCUUGUCAUUAGUUGCCAUCAUUUGGUUGGGCACUCUAAUGAGACUGCCGGUGACAAACCGGAGGAAGGUGGGGAUGACGUCAAGUCCUCAUGGCCCUUAUGGGUAGGGCUUCACACGUCAUACAAUGGUCGGUACAGAGGGUUGCCAACCCGCGAGGGGGAGCUAAUCCCACAAAGCCGAUCGUAGUCCGGAUCGCAGUCUGCAACUCGACUGCGUGAAGUCGGAAUCGCUAGUAAUCGUGGAUCAGCAUGUCACGGUGAAUACGUCCCCGGGUCUU
rnacentral:rRNA from 1 species